UACGUAGGGGGCAAGCGUUGUCCGGAUUUAUUGGGCGUAAAGAGCGUGUAGGCGGCCAGGUAGGUCCGUUGUGAAAACUGGAGGCUUAACCUCCAGCUGUCGAUGGAAACCAUCUGGCUAGAGUCCGGAAGAGGAGAGUGGAAUUCCUGGUGUAGCGGUGAAAUGCGCAGAUAUCAGGAGGAACACCGAUGGCGAAGGCAGGUCUCUGGGCCGCAACUGACGCUGAGGAGCGAAAGCAUGGGGAGCGAACAGG
rnacentral:rRNA from 1 species